rnacentral:rRNA from 1 species
ACUCCUACGGGAGGCAGCAGUGGGGAAUAUUGCACAAUGGGGGAAACCCUGAUGCAGCCAUGCCGCGUGUGUGAAGAAGGCCUUCGGUUGUAAAGCACUUUCAGUAGGGAGGAAGGUAGUGUAGUUAACACCUGCAUUAUUUGACGUUACCUACAGAAGAAGCACCGGCUAACUCCGUGCCAGCAGCCGCGGUAAUACGGAGGGUGCGAGCGUUAAUCGGAAUUACUGGGCGUAAAGCGCAUGCAGGCGGCCUGUUAAGUCAGAUGUGAAAGCCCGGGGUCUUAACCUCGGAAUUGCAUUUGAAACUGGCAGGCUAGAGUCUUGUAGAGGGGUUAGAAUUUCAGGUGUAGCGGUGAAAUGCGUAGAGAUCUGAAGGAAUACCGAGUGGCGAACGGCGGCCCCUAGGACAAAGACUGACGCUCAGAUGCGAAAGCGUGGGAGCAAACAGGAUUAGAUACCCCUGGUAGACUGUCA